UAGUUAAAAGAUAGAACGGUCUAGUCAAGUGCCAUGUCUCUUAUUCUUGAUCAGCUAUAGCUCUGGAGUUUUUGUAGAUUUUCAAAUAAAACUCAGAGAUUCCUUGUAUGACUCUCUCAUAUCUCUCUUUUGUGGUAUUCCUGGAUCCUUACCAAGGCAGUGAUGGUAUAUGUCUUCUCUCAAAAAGUAUGUGGUAUUUGUGGUAUAGGGCAUAGUGACAUUGCCUUCUCUCUCACCCUACUCUAAUAAGACUUUUAAUAUCUGGAGCUCAUAGGUGGGAGAUAAAGUAUACAUACUCACAAGACAUUUAUUGUAUAGUCAAACCAUGGAUCCAAAGAAAUAAAUUAAUAAGUCAAAUCAAGAUGUGCAUGUGUGGCGAAUGAAUGGUAUGUGGUGAUGAUGGUGAUAACAAUGGUGAAAGUCUAAAUCUUUUGCUCUUUGAGAGGAUACAUACCUUCCUUGCUUUUUGAAACUUUGUGAGGAGAAUGAGAUGCUCUAUAUUUUCUUUUUUCUUUCCUCUCAGGUGGGUAUCUUGUACCCCUAAUUCUACUAUCGGACACUUGUCCAUUUUUACCUCUCGUCUCACUUUUUCAUUUCUUUCGAGGUUCCGGGCACUUGCCCCUUUUUAUUUCCUCGUAUCUUUUUUUUAAAAGAGCACUCAUCUCUUCAAAUAUAGCAAGUGGUAGUAACAAGAUAACUUGAGCAUUUAUUUCACAGGGGAAAAACAGAAAUAUUUUUGGCCAUUCUCUCCCGGAUUAGGAGUAGAAUGUUUUUGGGUGAUUCUGGAGAUGGAAAUGAGUGGAUAUAUGUGGAUGGUACUUUCGGAGUAGAAGUAGCAUGUGUGAGUGAACGUGCAAGUGAAUCUUGAUUUAACCACAUGACAAGCUCCUAAGGGUCUACACAGCUUGACCACACUCAAUGCUCAUA
rnacentral:lncRNA from 1 species